UGAAACAGAAAGAGGAAGAGAAUAGGAGUUUACGGUUGUGAAAUUGGAUUUGUCAGAGGGUUGGGUGUAUGUGAUUAGUGAGGCUGUUGCUUAGUGGUGCUUCAUCAAGGGAGGCUCGACUUCAAAGCUGGUUAUCAGAAGUUCUUUAAGGUUUCACAUGCUGCUGUUGUAAGAAAUUGGUCUGCAAGGUCUGAAGAGAAGGAGAAGGUUGAAUAUGUAAAUCAAGAUAAGUGGAAGGGAAUUUUUUAUAGGCAAUUUUUGAAAUUAUGCUCAACUUUAAAUUUUUAGAAAUUUUUUGAUAAGGGUUUUUUUCCGAGAUUGAGGCAAGUGAUUGGUGGUAAACUGUAUUAGGUUUUUGUUUGUAUCUGGGAGUGGUUAGUUUAUGCUGUUCUUCUAUUUGAUUGGAAUGCAAUUUGCUUAACCCUUUGAACUUAACUAAAAUUGAUAGGUGAGAGG